rnacentral:rRNA from 1 species
AACGAACGCUGGCGGCAGGCUUAACACAUGCAAGUCGAGCGCCCCGCCAGGGGAGCGGCUGCCGGGUGAGUAACGCGUGGGAACGUACCUUUUGGUUCGGAACAACUCCGGGAAACUGGAGCUAAUACCGGAUAAGCCCUAACGGGGAAAGAUUUAUCGCCGAACGAUCGGCCCGCGUCUGAUUAGCUAGUUGGUGAGGUAACGGCUCACCAAGGCGACGAUCAGUAGCUGGUCUGAGAGGAUGAUCAGCCACACUGGGACUGAGACACGGCCCAGACUCCUACGGGAGGCAGCAGUGGGGAAUAUUGGACAAUGGGCGCAAGCCUGAUCCAGCCAGGCCGCGUGAGUGAUGAAGGCCUUAGGGUUGUAAAGCUCUUUUGUCCGGGAAGAUAAUGACUGUACCGGAAGAAUAAGCCCCGGCUAACUUCGUG